rnacentral:rRNA from 1 species
UACGGAGGAUGCGAGCGUUAUCCGGAUUUAUUGGGUUUAAAGGGUGCGUAGGCGGCGACAUAAGUCAGUGGUGAAAUAUUCCGGCUCAACCGGGAGACUGCCAUUGAAACUGUGUUGCUAGAAUAUGGUUGCUGUGGGUGGAAUGUGUGGUGUAGCGGUGAAAUGCUUAGAUAUCACACAGAAUAUCGAUUGCGAAGGCAGCUCACAAAGCCAUUAUUGACGCUGAGGCACGAAAGUGUGGGGAUCAAACAGGAUUAGAUACCCUGGUAGUCCACACCGUAAACGAUGAUAACUCGCUGUCGGCGAUACACAGUCGGUGGCCAAGCGAAAGCGAUAAGUUAUCCACCUGGGGAGUACGACCGCAAGGUUGAA